AAAGGUUGGCUAGCAGCAAGGAACUAACUCAGACAAAAGCUGACCGUAUGUCCUAUCAUCAAUGGGGAAGACCACCUUCGUUUGUUGAACUUUCAACACAAUUUUAUAACUCGGAUACAAAAUAUUUCUAAUCUACAGAAGUUAAUAUCGUUGGAUUUAUAUGAUAACCAGAUUGAAGAAAUUAGUGGGCUUUCGACUCUGAGAUGUCUUCGUGUCCUUCUGUUGGGGAAAAACAGAAUCAAGAAAAUCUCAAAUCUGGAGAAUCUAAAAAGCUUAGAUGUCUUGGAUCUUCAUGGAAAUCAGAUUACCAAAAUUGAAAAUAUUAAUCAUUUGUGUGAGUUGAGAGUUUUAAAUCUUGCCAGGAACUUUUUAAGUCAUGUUGAUAAUCUUAAUGGGCUGGAUUCACUAACUGAACUUAACUUGCGACACAAUCAAAUCACUUUCGUGAGAGAUGUGGAUAAUUUGCCCUGCCUCCAACAUCUCUUUCUCAGCUUUAACAAUAUAUCUAGUUUUGACAGUGUUUCCUGCCUUGCUGACUCUUCUUCCCUCUCGGACAUCACCUUUGAUGGCAAUCCCAUAGCUCAAGAGUCAUGGUACAAACACACUGUCCUUCAGAAUAUGAUGCAGCUGCGCCAG
rnacentral:lncRNA from 1 species